CCUGGUAGUCCACGCUGUAAACGAUGUCGAUUUGGAGGUUGUGCCCUUGAGGCGUGGCUUCCGGAGCUAACGCGUUAAAUCGACCGCCUGGGGAGUACGGCCGCAAGGUUAAAACUCAAAUGAAUUGACGGGGGCCCGCACAAGCGGUGGAGCAUGUGGUUUAAUUCGAUGCAACGCGAAGAACCUUACCUACUCUUGACAUCCAGAGAACUUAGCAGAGAUGCUUUGGUGCCUUCGGGAACUCUGAGACAGGUGCUGCAUGGCUGUCGUCAGCUCGUGUUGUGAAAUGUUGGGUUAAGUCCCGCAACGAGCGCAACCCUUAUCCUUUGUUGCCAGCGGUUCGGCCGGGAACUCAAAGGAGACUGCCAGUGAUAAACUGGAGGAAGGUGGGGAUGACGUCAAGUCAUCAUGGCCCUUACGAGUAGGGCUACACACGUGCUACAAUGGCAUAUACAAAGAGAAGCGACCUCGCGAGAGCAAGCGGACCUCAUAAAGUAUGUCGUAGUCCGGAUUGGAGUCUGCAACUCGACUCCAUGAAGUCGGAAUCGCUAGUAAUCGUAGAUCAGAAUGCUACGGUGAAUACGUUCCCGGGCCUUGUACACACCGCCCGUCACACCAUGGGAGUGGGUUGCAAAAGAAGUAGGUAGCUUAACCUUCGGGAGGGCGCUUACCACUUUGUGAUUCAUGACUGGGGUGAAGUCGUAACAAGGUACCAAGGGCGAA
rnacentral:rRNA from 1 species